rnacentral:snRNA from 1 species
UGCCAUAUUGUGUGGGGGCCAUGCUAAUCUUUUUGCUUUAUACAGAGAAGAUUAGCAUGGCCCCUGCGCAAGUAUGACACGCACAAAUCGAGAAGUGUAUCAAGUUUCU